CUAUAACGGAUUGUUUGGCCUGGGACUCUGGGAGAGUACGUUUUUCCACCGCCGCCGCGUUUUCACGGUGUUUCAAUGUGAAAACACAUAAGCUACAAACUUUGGCUUCUGAGAGGACGCGCGUUAAGUUUCUUCUACCGCCAAAAGUGCUUAUUUUCUGUUGCUCCUCACAUGAUUUCCCUCUCAUUCCAAACAGUUCCUGCUGCACAACCGCAUUUGGUCCUCACUCACUGUUCCCAAUUUUGUUACAACUCUCACUCACAUUCUCAGAAGCGUCAUAGUGGAAUCAGAGCAAGCAAGCAGACGCUAUAUUCUUGACCUGACAAAUGAAACUCAGUGGGAGGUGAUUGGAAAGGUUAUACUCUUUUCUUUCAAUAUCAUCAUUAAUUUGACUUCUGUUAUCAAUUAUUUGUCUGAUAAAUGAUUAAUAAUUAUUCAAACAUAUCGACGAUGCAAAAAUAUGGCAAAUGGCUUGAGAAGCAUGGCAAGAGUGGACGUUUUUGUCCUCAGUCAAGAAUACAUUGGGCCAAUGAAUGUGUAGAAGCUCUCCACAAGACAAGGUACACGUGGUCGUUAGGUAUGAUACAGAUCGUCAUUAUAAUCUAAAAUCAUAGUUUAUUUUAUUUCUCAUGGACCCCUAGAAAUUUAGAUAUACAUUAUACCCUUGUGCACCUUAAUUCAUCUAAAUACGUAUAAUGGCCAUGGCCAAAGGAAGUUGAAAAUACUGGGAAGAGUACAAAUUCGUUUCCACUUUAUUUCACCUGCUAUAUUACUUUCACUUUCACUUUUAUUUUUUGAAUUUUCUGAGCCAUGUGAAUUCUCAAUAAUAAUGAUUAUUAACAUGUGAUUCUUGUCAACACAUGCAUGAAUUCAAAGUGCACGUUGCAUCAUUUACAGGUUAUUCGAGGCGCACAAACUUUAGAGGCAGAAAAAAAGUUAGAAACAAUAACCAGAAAAAACUUUAUUUCACAGAUUAAUUAAAUCCCCUGAACCAAAUAAUAAUUAUUUUUUCCUUCGGCCUUCAUCUUUAGUACUGUCUCUCUAGUUGGGAUAUUUUUGCAGAAAAUUUUGUUACUCCAAUCUUAAUGUCUCUAGAUGAGAUAUCAAUAUAUGGCAUAAUAAUGUUA